GCCAUAAUGGUGCAGUGGUUUGAGCACCAGACUACAACUCUGGAAACUAUGGAUCAAAUCCCCACUUGGCC